rnacentral:misc_RNA from 1 species
GAUGAAGAACGUAGUGAAAUGCGAUAAGUAAUGUGAAUUGCAGAAUUCAGUGAAUCAUCGAAUCUUUGAACGCACAUUGCGCCCGGCAGUACUCUGCCGGGCAUGCCUGUUCGAGCGUCAUUUCAACCCUCAAGCCCUGCUUGGUGUUGGGGUCCCACGGCCGCCGUGGGCCCUGAAAGGAAGUGGCGGGCUCGCUACAACUCCGAGCGUAGUAAUUCAUUAUCUCGCUUAGGGCGUUGGGCGGCGCUCCUGCCGUUAAAGAACCAUCUUUAACUCAAGGUUGACCUCGGAUCAGGUAGGAAUACCCGCUGAACUUAAGCAUAUCAAUAAGCGGAGGA